GAUGAAGAACGUAGUGAAAUGCGAUACUUGGUGUGAAUUGCAGAAUCCCGUGAACCAUCGAGUCUUUGAACGCAAGUUGCGCCCGAAGCCAUCAGGUUGAGGGCACGUCUGCCUGGGCGUCACAUAUCGUUGCCCAAUGCCUAUUGCAGUGCAAUAGGAAUUUCUAGGGCGAAUGAUGGCUUCCCGUGAUCGUUGUUGCCUCGCGGUUGGUUGAAAAUCGAGUCCUUGGUAGGGUGUGCCAUGGUAGAUGGUGGUCGAGUUAGAACGAUACCGAUCAUGUGCAUGCUCCCCAAAAUAUGGCCUCUAUGACCCACACGCGUCUUUUGACGCUCAUGACGAGACCUCAGGUCAGGCGGGGCUACCCGCUGAAUUUAAGCAUAUCAACAAGCGGAGGA
rnacentral:misc_RNA from 1 species